GCACCCGUAGCUUAGCUGGAUAGAGCGCCGGACUACGAAUCCGGAGGUCGGGAGUUCGAAUCUCUCCGGGUGCG
rnacentral:tRNA from 1 species